AUUGAACGCUGGCGGAAUGCUUUACACAUGCAAGUCGAACGGCAGCACGGACUUCGGUCUGGUGGCGGGUGGCGAACGGGUGAGUAAUAUAUCGGAACGUAUCCAAUAAUGGGGGAUAACUAAUCGAAAGGUUGGCUAAUACCGCAUACGUCCUACGGGAGAAAGCUAGGGACCUUCGGGCCUGGCGUUAAUGGAGCGGCCGAUAUCGGAUUAGCUAGUUGGUGAGGUAAAGGCUCACCAAGGCGACGAUCCGUAGCUGGUCUGAGAGGACGACCAGCCACACUGGAACUGAGACACGGUCAAGACUCCUACGGGAGGCAGCAGUGGGGAAUUUUGGACAAUGGGCGAAAGCCUGAUCCAGCCAUUCCGCGUGAGUGAAGAAGGCCUUCGGGUUGUAAAGCUCUUUCGCAAGAGAAGAAAACUUACCCUCUAACAUAGGGUGAGGUUGACGGUAUCUUGAUAAGAAGCACCGGCUAACUACGUGCCAGCAGCCGCCGUAA
rnacentral:rRNA from 1 species